UAGUCCACGCCGUAAACGAUGUCUACUAGCCGUUGGGAUCCUUGAGAUCUUAGUGGCGCAGCUAACGCAAUAAGUAGACCGCCUGGGGAGUACGGUCGCAAGAUUAAAACUCAAAUGAAUUGACGGGGGCCCGCACAAGCGGUGGAGCAUGUGGUUUAAUUCGAUGCAACGCGAAGAACCUUACCAGGCCUUGACAUCCUAAGAAUCUUUGAGAGAUCAGAGAGUGCCUUCGGGAAUUUAGUGACAGGUGCUGCAUGGCUGUCGUCAGCUCGUGUCGUGAGAUGUUGGGUUAAGUCCCGUAACGAGCGCAACCCUUGUCCCUAGUUGCUAACAUUAAGUUGAGAACUCUAAGGAGACUGCCGGUGACAAACCGGGAGGAAGGUGGGGACGACGUCAAGUCAUCAUGGCCCUUACGGGCCUGGGGCUACACACGUGCUACAAUGGCCAGGGACAAACGGGUUGCGAGCCCGCGAGGGGGAAGC
rnacentral:rRNA from 1 species